GGUUGUGUGGUGUAAUGGUUAUCACAACAGACUCUGAAUCUGUUAAUCCGAGUUCGAAUCUCGGCAUGACCU
rfam:Nosema ceranae strain PA08 1199 NODE_20, whole genome shotgun sequence.